GGCUGGUCCAAUGGUAGUGGAUUAUCAGAACUUAUUAACAUUAGUGUCACUAAAGUUGGGAUACAACCCCCCACACACUGCUAAAUUUGACUGGCUUUAA
ensembl:misc_RNA Y_RNA Y RNA